rnacentral:misc_RNA from 1 species
AUCGAGACGUCGCUGCGCAACAAGAGUACUCCAUGUAACACUGGGUACAUCUUGACUGUUAAAGUUGUUGUUACUGAAUGGUGCUACCUUUUACUCUCAUUCACGAAAAGUCCCUGAUAUUGUCUGUUAUUUAUAUAUUGUAUAUGAAGCCAUCGUCUUUCAAUGUGUACAUUCUAAGUCGUCACAAUUCCUUUUUUUAUGUUGAGCUGUGGUGUGCAUCUAGCGCACGCACAAAGUUGUUGUUAUAUUUUCUUUAUUGUUAUCCGUGAUAAAAUCUUUUAAAAG